UUUGCUGGGAACUGGACUAGAGCGGUGAACAAACGCAGCGGUCCCCCCCCCUUGUGGAGGGUUUUAGCUUGGUUUUGCUUUGCAAGGUUUCAGUUCCCGGGAUGGGUCAACCUCCCUCCAGAAGCAGAUGCCCCUCCUUUUGACGCAGUAGCGUCAUAACGUCAAGAGCCGCGGAAGGCUACGUCACAGUGGUUACGUCACAGUGCCUAGGUCACAGUGCCUACUGCGUUCACGUCCCUUCCUCUCAUCGUGGGGGCAUUUCACCAUCUGACGACAAACACCACGGCAACAAGUAGGAUGUUUUCGUUUCAUCCGUUAAAGCUGAAAUCGAGUCUGGGAUGCAUUUUUGAGGCUCUUACCAAGAUGUCAUAAGAAACCCCAAUGGAGGCCAUGGCCUAAGUGCUCUCCACUUCUUGUCUGCUGCCUCCUGACUACUCUGGAGUUUCUCCAUAAUGGUGCUGGGUGGUGUGCUCUGUCUCCUGUCUCUAGGACCUAUGGGAAGCAGGAGCUACCUAAGAUACUGUUACUGAGGAUGAACUCAGUACAUUGAAUUACUACUGGGGCAACUCUCCUUUUUCCCAGUGGCAUUGGCUCCAUCCUUUGAACAGAUAAGGAGCGGAGGCACACAAGAUGGAGUAAAAAUCCAAUUCUGUUAAAAACAGGUACAUAAUCCACUGUGUGGUGAAAAGAGCCCUGAGCUAAUCAGAAGACAUGGGUUAAUGGUUCUGGUUUUUUUCACUUAACCAGGCUUCAGCUGUCAAGUUUACACCCCAAACUCUCAAGAGAAGAAAGAAGGAAGGGAAAAAAAGGCCCACGUCUACACUGGGCUGACUCCUUUUAAAGAGACUUUUCAGCUGUCCCACACCAUAAUUCUGCUUUCAUCUCACUAGUCCAAACUCAGUGUCAAAGUCACCUCUAACUGCAAAAGAGGCUUGGAAAUGCAGUGCUUCAGCUGGUGAUGCAUUCCUAACACGAGUGAACUCAACAAAGGACAUGAGUAGAUCCGAGAAGCACCAAGAAUGAUUGUAGCCGAUGCCUUUGCUUCCCAUCAGCUAUCCUCUCAGGUCUCGUUGUCCCCAGACACACCUGCAGGAAGACAUGAUAGAGAAAGACACAGAGGGCCCCCAAGCUGCAGAUCCUGCCAGAAUUCUAAGGCGUUUUACGUGAACUACAUGAAGAAGUCGACAAGACCAACGAUAUUUAUAAGUGUUCUCUGUUGUAAGAUAUAUUUUGAUAUAAUUAACAACAGUUCUGAGAAAACAGGCAGGACGCUUGAGGAAACAGGCAGGAGAGGACAACUGGCUGGAAAGAGGCAGAUGAAGAGUUCCAUCUGGCAAAGAUAGAGCACAAAAGAGAAUCUGGGUCACAUUUCGGAGCUAUUGAUUAAAAGUUAACCAACAAAUAUUGACAGAUUUCCCACUCAGAAGAGGGAGAUUUACUUAUUUUGGCCCAGAGGCUAAAGUCAAGGCUAUAGGUGGCUCUCCGUUGACUCCUCUGGAACAUUGUGGAUGGGAAAAUAAGCAGUACUCGUGGAGGUAAUGUGUCAGGCAAGGCUCAUCUCGGGCAACAACCACUUUCCUCUGCAGUGACCCCAUUUCGCUUGUGGAUCAAAAAGACGUAGCCAGGAAAAGUGAGGACUGGGACUGGGCACCCGGGGUGGGGCCGAGCUGAGCCACUGAUCAGAAGGAACACGAGUACAAUCCACACAGGGCAGUUCUGCAGCAUUUGCUCUCCAGCCUUUUGCUUCCUCUGACUGCAUUCAUCAUUGCCUUACCAGGGGUUAGAUCAAUCUAUUGCCUUUAAAACUUGUGGUAAAGCAUCUCUUUUGAAGAAUGUGCUCUGAGGGAGAGAUCAUACUUCUUUAAAACAACCUUCUGUCGGUCUGUUUGUCUAAUGCAGGUUUCCCAGAUGCCUCAUUAGACUUUCAUUCCAAGAGCUGGCUUUCAGACCACAUUGAGCAAAUCCUCUUAAAGGUGUUAGUUGGCAUAUCAUCUUGUUAGAGGUUUCUAGAGAAGAGAAAAGUCUACUAAAUUCAGAGACAUUCUUUCCUAAUAUUGGAAUUCAGGCACCGUGACAAGAGAGAGAAAUUGUUCUCGAAGCCUGCCAUACCCAAAACGGUUUAGACUGCUUUCACAUUCCGAUACUCGACUAAAGAGUUAAUGAAGACUGUGUCUUAGCACCGGUGGUAUUUAUUUAACGUGCACUGUAAUCCCAGCUGACACUUCCUAAUGAGUUUAUUGCUGCUGUGGAGUUAAAGCUCCCCCACUCAAUAAGCAUAAACUUGAGUGUCAAAAAUGAAACAUAGUCGGCCCUGGUGCUUAAAUGGCCUGUAUCGAUCCUCUGGCAGUCUAACUGCUGUAGUCUGGUGCCAGUUCUCUAAUUUGUGCCCUGAAGUGUGCAGCCACACUUGAUUUAGAUGUCAGAAUGAGGCAGCACUCAGUUUGAGAAAUCAGCUGAAACAUUCUUAAAAAAAUUGGUCUGGAUAGCUUCACCUUGCAUUGUAAAGAUCAUUGCUCUCGUGUAAACAAGGGGCUAAAUAAUAUUAUUCCCAUAGACUUUUUUGAGGGUGUUUUAUCAAAGGAAAUGUCCUCAGAGUCAAAGCUUGCUGUGUUUUGUGCUUUAUCUGUACAGAAAAUUCCAUUUAGAGAAAUUUAAUGCCAAAGCUGUAAGAUCUGCAUUCCUAGAGAAUGACUAUUUAGGGCAUUGUCUUUGAAUAUGAAGUAAACACACACUGAGAAUGUUUGUAUGAGGUUCUUUCAAUGGCCAAGAUAUGCUCACUAUUCCUAGGAGUCAAAAGGACUCAGACAACUUAAAGAUGUGUGGCAUCUGCAAAACACCCCUAUGUUCAUAGCUAUAUUCCUGUCUCAGAGAAAUCAUCUGCCAUUUCCAAUGACAUCAAAGACGGUGGUUGAAGAGCUAACAGCAGGAAGGUCAGCCAAAUUUCUACUUGACACUGGCAAAACACGAGAGAAGCUCAUGAUCUCCUUCAAAGUUCAAAUGAAAAAUCCAAACGCUUAGAAUUAUAAUCUCGACUUUAGAAGAGACUUAUAGAUCAACUACUUGUUAUGACAAAAGAAAUACGUGCCCCGCAAAAAAAAAACUGAAGUUAACUUGUCCAAGGUAAAGAGCUUGCCAAGAGGUAAGGAAAGGACUCGAAUUCAAGUCCUGGUCCCCAAACUUUGUCUAGUAGGUCGACUUUUUACUAGAAUGGUGUGCAUUUUACUUUAAUCACAUAACUUCCAGGGAAAGGGUCUUCACUUUCUUUUUGUUGAAGUUUGAUAUUGUUACAGAGAUAACCUCGAUGUUCUGAAAAAGUCAUUAGCAAAGUGUUCUUCAGAUUUCCUGUUCUUAGAAAGCAUGCUUUCCUAAGUUUUUCAGUCUACAGGUUUCCUUCAGUUUUCUUGACACAUGAGAUAUUUUGAUAACUGUUCUUUACCCUAAAAUAUUUGAUCGUAUACAGUGUCAUAUAAAUGCACAGUGUCAGUUUUAAUCCACCCUCUCGGCAGUCAGCAAACUUGUAACCAGAAAACCAGAAGCUACACCGCUCUGGUGAUCAAUAGUACAGGUUUUUUGAAAUAGAACAACUGAGUAUUAGAAAUGGAUUUCUUUGGUUAAAGUAAUGACUAAUCACCUAGCAUAAUAGGUGCCAGAAAUAAGUUCUCCAUGACGAAAUGAAUGGUUAGGCUAAAAUAGUUUAGGGACACUCCACAUUUGCAUAAAAAGGGCACAGGAAUAUUGCAGAUUCUUUAAAUUUACCCUUGAAAAGGGCACCUGAGCCUGUAUUCUCAAGUUGUCCUGCAUCCAGACGAGUCAGUUAUAAGCUUGAUGAAUCUCGCUUCAGAAUUCUUUCAUCAGCCACAAGUAAAUCGGUCAUUCAGGGUGUGGUCAGGGCAUCUAAAAGGAGAGAGGAUAUCUAGGAGGACCGAAGGUCCUGGUUUGCUUGGGACUGAGGAGUUUCCUGGACUGAAGAGUUCCAUGCUUCCUGGACCGAGGACAAUCCUGAGCAAGCUGGGACCAUUGGUACCUUACUCUGCGGUUCUGUGAAUUGCUAGGUUGCCUGUUUGCUGGUAAAUGAUGAUCUGUGUGUGAGAAUUUGGUCUGACACUCGUUUUAAUUUUACAAAUUACCUGAUAAUCUCGUUGAGGGAAACCUUAUAUUUAUAACACCUAUUCCUCACUGUAGGUGCAACCAGUAUAUUUUUUAAAAACCUGGUGGUUUUGUGGCCGAAUUGACCUAGGGGCAUAUGCAACAGAUUGAGAGGGGUGGAGAACACAUUUUACGUCAUACCGGUCUGGAUAUUUGUGUACCUAUAAAGUCAUAUAAAUGAAACCCUACACACUCGAACACAAACAAACAAAAUGCAAAAACAUACAUAUACGUACCCUGUAAGAAAGAGGCAAAAAUUAUCUUAUGAUCUUGUGGCUAGCAGCCAUCAAAACCUUAACUCUUUAUAUUAUAUUGUAUUUAUAAAAAGUUUUAUAUUCUAAAAAGUUUAUAUUAUAAAUUUAUAUUAUAAAAAGUCUGUACAUGGAGGGAAACUUCAAGGGUCACACCAAGCAAGAUCUUGAGAAUUGUUCAAAAUGACUGAAAACCCCUUCACCCAGAUGUACAUGUACAAGACUACA